CCCAUAAUUUUAUAUAUUUUGUUUAUAUAUUUUAACGUAUAUUAAUAUAUUUAAAUAUAAUUUACGGAUUUCAGAAAUGAAUAUGUAAUUAAAAUAUAAUUAUUUUAUUUCAUUUUGAAUACUUUUAAUGAUUUACGAAAUCAAAAUGUAUAUUUGAAUUUUACGUUAAAACGAUUUCGAAUUACGAAACCACGUUCUAUUGAAAUUAGAAAGCAAUACUAAACAUUGUGGAUUCAUCAACCUAAAUCCUACUCCUAGCCCAAUUGGGCAAAGCCCAAACCAAUAAACCCAACUAAAUACUCCCUCCUCUUCUCUACUCUUACGUGAAACCAAAAGAAGAAAAAAAAAAAAGAAAAGAGAAACCCUCCUUCAAUUCACGCACAACUCAGCCAUCUCUCCUUCCUCCCCUCCACGCCGUCGCCCACUGCCGGACCACCACCUGCACCGACGACCACCGUCGACCCUCGUGCACCACCUUUGCGCCUAGCCGCGCCGCUGAGCCACCGCCUUCGCCGCCGCCUCCGCGAGUCUCUUCGCCACCCGCACAACCCCACCUUCGUCAGCUCAAUCGACCGUCGCUGCCGCGCCGCAAAGUCUACCGCCGGCCAGCCUCCUCCUCAUUCUCUCCUUGUGGUGGAGAAUUCUCCGUAGGCGACUUUUGAAUUAUUAAAGUGGUCUUGCAGUUUGUUUACACAAGUCUCUAAGGAUCAAUAAGCGUUGCCCAUCUACAGGUUUGAAGAUGAUGCAUCAUUGGGAUCGGGAUUAGAGAGCUUGUAGUUCUAUUCGUUUAAUUAAGUGAUUUAAUUUGUUAACUUGGAUUUGAAAUUUGUCGUACUAUUCGUAUUUCCUUAAUUCAGUUAAAUGGGUUUGGACCUAAUAUGUAAUAGAUUAUUUAUGAACCUAAAAGUUAGUUCUAUGU